UACAGAGGGUGCGAGCGUUGUCCGGAAUCACUGGGCGUAAAGGGCGCGUAGGCGGCCAGCACAAGUCAGUUGUGAAAUCUCCGAGCUUAACUCGGAAAGGUCAACUGAUACUGUGCGGCUAGAGUGCGGAAGAGGAGAGUGGAAUUCCUGGUGUAGCGGUGAAAUGCGCAGAUAUCAGGAAGAACACCCGUGGCGAAGGCGGCUCUCUGGUACGUGACUGACGCUGAGACGCGAAAGCGUGGGGAGCAAACAGG
rnacentral:rRNA from 1 species